rnacentral:misc_RNA from 1 species
AAAGUGCGAUAUGUACUGCGCUGUGCGCGAAAUGCGCAGUCAUUCUUCGAAUACACAUUGUCCUGUCUGGCGAAUAGCCGGCAGGGCAUCUGCUUCAGGGUUGUUGAUUAGUUUAGUUAAUGCGCUGUCAUGGCCAUUAUUCUCUUUAGAGGCGUCACUGCCCCGUGUCCCCUCGUCUUGUGUCCUCGUUGCUCCGGCUUCUGUGGACUGGGUGUCUAGCAGUCUGGUUCAUUGCUUGCAUUGUUCCGUGUAUUGCUUCUCCCUUUUUAUCUGACCCGACCUGAAGUCAGGUGUGAAUACCCGCUGAACUUAA